CGCCUUAUACAUGCAAGUCGAACGAAGUAUUUAUACUUAGUGGCAGACGGGUGAGUAACAUGUGGGUAUCUUCCCUUUGGUGAGGAAUAACACGAGGAAACUUGUGCUAAUACCUCAUAAGUCUUUACGGAGAAAGCUUUAUGCGCCAAUGGAUGAGCCCGCACUUGAUUAGUUUGUUGGUGGGGUAAUGGCCUACCAAGACUUUGAUCAAUAGCUGAUCUGAGAGGAUGAUCAGCCACAUUGGGACUGAGACACGGCCCAAACUCCUACGGGAGGCAGCAGUAGGGAAUAUUGCACAAUGGAGGAAACUCUGAUGCAGCGAUGCCGCGUGAGUGAAGAAGGCCUUUGGGUUGUAAAGCUCUUUCGUCGGGGAAGAAAAUGACUGUACCCGAAUAAGAAGGUCCGGCUAACUUCGUGCCAGCAGCCGCGGUAAUACGAAGGGACCUAGCGUAGUUCGGAAUUACUGGGCUUAAAGAGUUCGUAGGUGGUUAAAAAAGUUGGUUGUGAAAUCCCGGAGCUUAACUCCGGAACUGCAAUCAAAACUUUUUAGCUAGAGUAUGAUAGAGGAAAGCAGAAUUUCUAGUGUAGAGGUGAAAUUCGUAGAUAUUAGAAAGAAUACCAAUUGCGAAGGCAGCUUUCUGGAUCAUUACUGACGCUGAGGAACGAAAGCAUGGGUAGCGAAGAGGAUUAGAUACCCUCGUAGUCCAUGCCGUAAACGAUGUGUGUUAGACGUUGGAAAUUUAUUUUCAGUGUCGCAGCGAAAGCAAUAAACACACCGCCUGGGGAGUACGACC
rnacentral:rRNA from 1 species